GUGGCUGCUGCUGGGCUCCUUGGAGCUUGGAUUUAGGAUAUCUUCAGAUGUUCCUGGGCUUCUUGUGGGCAGGCCUGUGACUGAAACAGCUCUUCAGUUAGGAAGUUUGCAAGGAGGUGAAAUGAAGAACCUUUCCACCUUCCAGCAUAGAAAGACACGUCAAAGUAUUGCUUUCAGGAAUCAGGACAGCUGUAUUCAUCCACCUAGCACCUUAAAUGGACACCUCCUCUCACCUGCAGAACAUUGUAACAGUGGACAGCGUUAUAAUCAUUCUGUAAUUAUGAAUUGUCCCAUAGAAUAAACCAAUGGCAUCUCA